rnacentral:rRNA from 1 species
CCGGCGACCGGCGCACGGGUGAGUAACACGUAUGCGACCUGCCCCCCGCAGGGGGAUAACCGGGAGAAAUCCCGACUAAUACCGCAUAACGCCGCGGACCUGCAUGGGUCUGCGGCCAAAGGAAGCGAUUCCGGCGGGGGAUGGGCAUGCGGCGCAUUAGCUAGUCGGCGGGGUAACGGCCCACCGAGGCGACGAUGCGUAGGGGUUCUGAGAGGAAGGUCCCCCACACUGGUACUGAGACACGGACCAGACUCCUACGGGAGGCAGCAG